rfam:Gossypium arboreum cultivar AKA8401 contig_15843_3, whole genome shotgun sequence.
AAUAGUUUUAUGCUACAUCAGUACUCUUAUCCUGAAUUUCAAGAUUUUAUCCUGAAAAAAAUCAAAUCCAAAUUAAAAUUCUAAAAUUCAGGAUAAAAUCUUGAAAUUCAGGAUAAGAAUACUGAUGUGGCAUAAAACUAUU